UACGAAGGGGGCUAGCGUUGCUCGGAAUCACUGGGCGUAAAGGGUGCGUAGGCGGGUCUUUAAGUCAGGGGUGAAAUCCUGGAGCUCAACUCCAGAACUGCCUUUGAUACUGAAGAUCUUGAGUUCGGGAGAGGUGAGUGGAACUGCGAGUGUAGAGGUGAAAUUCGUAGAUAUUCGGAGGAACACCAGAAGCGAAGGCGGCCAACUGGCCCGAUACUGACGCUGAGGAGCGAAAGCCAGGGGAGCAAACGGG
rnacentral:rRNA from 1 species